ACAACACGCGCGUGUGUACAAUUGUUCGGUUUGCUCCGAGAAACGGCAAAAGUGACAAUUUAACGCGAGCUAUUACGCAUUGUUUGCAGAAGUGUUUCAAGAGUGUCGAGAGUAUAUUUCGAGAGUGUAUUUCGGUGUUUAAAGUAUGCGAAGUGGUUAUUUUACGUAUGCGUAAUUAUCGCUCGUGCAUAAUAUAACCUAAAAUUCAACCUAGAGAGUGAAGUUGACGCCGGCGCGGAAAAUAUUUAUAAUUACGAAGUGUGGCGGUACUGAUUGCAUAGUCGUCGUUAAACUGAUAUUAUUAUCGUCGUUAAAUCGUCUUUUCGUUGAGUACUUUCAGAAUAGAAAUUAUCUAACUGGAUAAUUAUGCACAUAAAUUAUGCACAUUGUUAUUUACUAUGAUAAAUGUGCAUAAAAAUUAUCAACAGUUUGGAACAUAAAUACGCCAUAUUGAAGAUUUUGGAAUAUUUAUUAUUUAAAUAUGGCAGAUUAUCUUUCUGCUGAGCUUACAGCCACUUGCGCUGUACUUGGAUACUUUGAUGGAACUGAUUACCAUUUAGAUAAAAAUUGCUUAGAUGUAAUAAAAGAUCUUAUCAGAUAUCUCAGGAGAGAUGAUGAUACGCAUACUAUAAGACGCUUUCUUGGUCAAACAAAAUUACUUCAAACAGAUCUUGUAAAGAUUCUUAUACAUCAUGUUAAAUAUACUGAACUUUGGGAUGUUUUAUUACGAUUACUUAUUAAUUUAACAAGUUCUGCAUUUGUAAUUUAUAAUGAGCAGAUACCAACCGAGAAAACAACAUAUAGUUUGUAUCAACAAAUAAAUUUACAUUUACAAGAUUAUAAGGCAGCAUUAACCGAUGACAAUGUAUGGUUAACAGUAGCUGGGCGAUUGGGAGGAUUACUUAAGAUUGAUAGUACAGAAAGGGAAGAGGAAAAUGAAUUAACAAUUGAAAGAAUACUUAUUUUUAUUAGAAAUGUAUUGCAAGUGCCACCUAAUGAUAAUGAUAAAAGAGGUGAUAAUGAUGCUACUAUUCAUGAUGAGAUAUUGUUUGCGUUUCAUGCGUCAGGAAUAGUGGAUAUACUGUUGUUUAUUGUCAGUAAUAAUAAAGAACAGCAAUAUCACAUGCAAAUUUUAGAGAUUAUAUCUUUGAUGUUACGUGAGCAAAAUGCAAGCCAAUUGGCUGCAUCUGGUUUACAACGCAAUACUGCCGAAAAAGAAAACGAUGAGGCUAAACUUGUAGCCUUACGCAAAAAGGAAUUGCACGAAAAGAUGGACAAAGUAAAAAAAUAUGCCGGAUCUAGACAUUCACGAUUUGGCGGUACUUACAUUGUCCAAAAUAUGAAAGCAACUGGAGAAAAUCAAAUGAUAUGUCAUAGACCGUAUAAAAAAAUCGAAACUCUGGAAUUUGGUCAUAAUAAGAAAAGAGUGAAACGACGCAAAGAUAAAAUGAGGGUACAGGACGCUAAAGUGGAACGUACAUCUGUCCUCAGUGUACGACUUUUUCUAAAAGAAUUUUGCGUGGAAUUUCUUAGUGCAGCAUACAAUCCCGUAAUGAAAUUCGCCAGAUCUUGUAUCAUUAAUGUUACUCAUGGUGAAGCAUCCGAAAUAACUUCUUAUUUAUGGGCUUUGCGUUUUUUUAUGGAAUUCAAUCGCCAUUACAAGUUUGAAGUGAAAUACGUGAGCGAAACGAUAUCUACAGAAGUAUUUUAUUUAGUACAAAGACAAAUGGAACACUACUAUGAGAUGAUGAUAACUGAUAAGAAAAAGAUACCGCUUUGGUCUCGCAGAUUGCAUUUAGCAUUGAAAGCAUAUCAGGAGCUUCUUAAUACUCUUAUGGCAAUGGAUAAGAGCAUAGAUCGCGGUGUCAAAGAAUCCAGCAAAAUAAUUAAAAACAACAUCUUUUAUGUUCCGGAAUAUCGGGAAACGAUACUCUCUCAGUUUUUGUGUUUCGAUGAGACUAAAAUGUCACGGCAAUACUUAGUGGAUCUUGUCACGACUGUUCAUAUAUUUUUGAAAAUGCUCGAACAUUUUUGCCAGAAAGGUCAACGACACCUCAUGGUUCAACAAACAAAGCCAAAGCGAAAAAAAGCUAAAAGACAAAAAAAACCUGCUCAUCAGAGGAUUGUAACUCCGGUUCCUACUUUGGAAGAACGUUGGGACAUUAUUAGUUCUGAAUUAUCUGCUGUAAUGCAAGAUGGUAUCAUACCAGAAGUGGUGCCAUUUGAUGCAACCUUAGAUAUGCCUAUUGACGAUCAGAAAUCAGAUGCUAUGAAGAAAAUACAGAAAUUAAUGCGACAGAGCAACUUGGAACAGGCGCUUGGUCUCUUACGUACUGCAAGAGUAAUCUGGCCCGAGAAUGACUGCUUUGGAAGAACGGAUAUACCUCCCGAGGAAGAAUUUCUAGCUCUUCGAGAAAUUUUCUUUGCGGAUCUGGGCGUAGUAGAAGACCAGCCUGUUGAAGAAAUAAAUGAGAAUGAAAAUAUUGAAAAUUCUGCAAAUGAAACAGACGAAGAAGAGAAUGAAGAAGAAGAAAUAGAAACUGUUCACGAGACUGAUUUUAAAUUGGACGAAUUUCUUCAAAGGUUCGCCAACGUAAAGGUUGUUAAAGCUUUAACACUGCUACUGCAGCAAUUCGAGAACAAUACGGUCGAGGUAAAUCACUAUGUAAUAAAAAUGCUACAUCGAAUUGCUUGGAAUUGUAAAAUGCCGGCCAUGAUAUUCCAAGCGUCUAUAUUUCGGAUCUUUCAAAGACUCCUUGAAUCAAAGGAUCCUGGAUACAAGGAGCUCCAAAAGUUCGCGGUUUUCAUAAUCCGCCGUUUCAUCGAAGUCGCCGAGAAGAAUCGGAAGUCGUACAUGGAGCUGCUCUUCUGGAAGACCACCCGUGACGCGACAGAAAUCGUGGAUGGCUACAACGCGGAAACGAGUAGCAAGAAAGUUUCACGAGCAGUCUGGACGGAGGCGGAAGAGGACGAACUGCGUACCCUCUUCAUGGAGCAUCAGACUAACAAAUACCCUCAAGACCUGAUAGAUUGGCUUUUGGAGCACAUCAUCAACGAAAAUAGAACGCGACGUACCAUCAUUAAAAAACUCAAAGAAAUGAGUUUGAUUGUCAAUUCCAAGAACGUGCGAGCUGAGGUACAAAAGAGGUUGCCUAAGGAAUGGUCCGAGGAAGAAAUUACCCAGCUUACGGAACUUUGGACACAGUUCAAGGACGAUGACGAUCCCGUGGAUUUGAUUUUCACCGGUCUUAGAAUAAAGCGGCCGAAGUCGAAGAUCAAGGAAAAGCUUUUGGAAUUAGGAUUGGCGCAGGAUCGCAAGGAGCUGCGCAAAAAACGGGCCAGAAAAAGCAACCAAGGUAAAUCGUCGUGGGAAACGCAAGCUGCCAGUAAUUCUGAUGGGAACGAAAGUUCAGCCACCGACGACGAAGACGACGAAGAAACUCGAAAAUCCUCGAAGCGCGGCGGCGCGCUUCGUCGGAGCGAGGAGUCGACGAAAAAGAAGCAACGGAACAGGCGGAAGCUACCGACGAUCGUUUACACGGAUGCACAAUUAUCCGGUCUCUUGAAGGACGUCAUCGACAAGGACAUGAGAGAGGCGUUGGAAUGGAUCAAGGAAUCUCUGCAAGACAUUCUGGACGAUCGUGACGAGGAAAGCUCCGAGGGCAUACCCUUGGUGCCGCUGACAGAUUACUCGUCGACCGCGAUGGAUUCACCGAGUUUUCAAAAGCUUCUCCGUGGCCUGGGAUUUAUGCCACCGGCUGAUGCCCAGGAAUCUUAUUGGCGUAUUCCGGCGAAUAUGCUUACAAUCACGAUUCAGAAGCGCUACAAAUUGAUCGAAGACGCUUUAGCCGGCAAAUUUGUCGCCGAGGAAACGCGACCAGAAUCGCAUAAAGAUCAUUCUGACACUGACGAAAAGAUGGACGACAGUGGAGACGAUGUCGACGUAUUUGAGAAUGUUAAAAAAUUCUUUGUACCCACAGAAACCAUUCAAUUAGUUUCGGAGCCAUCAACUUCCAAACAAUCGGAACCGCACACUCAGUUAUCACAGGAAUCUAGAACACUAUCGCAUUUAAAUGAAGAAAGCGAUGAAGCAGUAGAAGUAGUAGAAAAAAUUAAUGAAGAUGGCAUAGGCAAUACGAGAAAUCGCAUAAGAAUGUUUAAUGAUUCCUCUGACUCGGAAAUAGAAAUUCAAAGGAACAUUGAUGGUAAAAACGAUGAUACAAAGAGGGAUAGAUCCGAUUCUUCCGAUAUAGAUAAACCAUCUAAUAAGAAACGCCGAUUACUUGAUAGCGACGAGGAAGUAGAAUCGUUAAAAGAUGACGAUGCAAACAAGACAAAUGAUUUUCACGUAAUAAUUAGCGAUGACGAAGAAUCGUUGUCUAAUGUGCCAUCUGAGCGACCUAAAUUAUCUCGCAUAAUAAUCAGUGAUGAAGAAGAUUAAAAAGUAACAUGUAUUUAUUCAUCUAAUUUUAAAUAUUCAAAGUGUUCUUACAUAUUCAAAAUGUUAUAUAGACAUAGAGAAAGUAUAUACUAUAUAUUAUUUUAGUGCUUUUUUAAAUUUUAAUCAAAGUUAAACACAUUUUAUCGAUUCAAAGAAUCAUCUCUGUGAAAAAUAUUCAUCACUGAAAUUAAAAGUUGUAAAAAUAAAAGGAGGUAGAUAUUCAGUUUUGAAGAAUCAUCAUUAACACAAUAUGUUAUCAUUUAUAAAAAAAUACAAAUUUCUUUAUAAUUUUUGAAAAAUAUACUUUAGCAUUGUUAACUUCAGUUGGGAAGCUUGAAUCUGCGAUGCGUGAGGCACUCUUACAGGUAUGGACUUUAUCAACGAGUGCUGGAACGAGGUCUCGUGUACUAUAUGUUGGUGCCAAGAAAAACAGUUCCCGAAAGGCGUCCACAUUUCGCCAAGUAACGACGAAGAGAACAUGCGAGCGCGGUAGUGCCGGCUGGCAAGGCUGGUCUCCCUCGAGCGGGGUCCGGGUCAUGUGAUCACCAAGCGUUCGUCCCGCUCGAGAUUGCGGCACGUUGAGCGACUACCUCCUCGAUCACGUGCAUCCCGGCUCGAUGGUUGGCCAAUGUGGAUGACUUUACGUCUUUUGAUGGGCAGGUGAGGAGUCUUGGCGAGUGUUAACGAUACGUACGUGUGCAUCGAGACGUAAUCGCGCGACGAAAGACCAACUCCCACCUUUUUCAAUACCACCUUCGACGGCAUCACCGAUCGCGGAACGACACAUAAUGUCGCCGCAAGGACUUCGCGACUCGCGGAUGUACGAUCAGGGGAUCAUGCCAGGCUAAGAAUGAAAAACCUAGCCGGAACCUAGUCACGAAAUAUAUUGUACGAAGCCUCGGACUUUGGUAUAUGCAAUAAUAACAUACAAUUAUUAUUAUUAAAUAUAAAUAUAAUAUUAAAUUUACUUGCAUAAAACACAUGUGCGAGUAAAUUAAUUGACUGUUUUCUUCGAUAAUCAAAGAUUGUUCCUAGUAUUUCCAAGAACCCAUUCUGAUUUAUAUACGU
rnacentral:misc_RNA from 1 species